GCCCUGCCUGUGGCCCCGGCUACUCCGGAGGCUGAGGCGGGAGCCGCGCUGGAGCCCGGGAGCUUUGCGCUGUAUGCGCUGUGCCCAUUGCGCGGCGACACGCAUAGGUGUUCCGCAUCGGUGUGGUGACCUCCCGGGAGCAGGGACCACCAGGUUCCCCAAGGAGUGGGGAACCGGCCCAGCUCGGAAACCGGGCAGGGCAAAACUCCUGUGCUGAUCGGUAGUGGGAUCGCGCCUGUGAAUAGCCACUGCCCUCCAGCCUGGGCAAUACAGCGAGACCCCAU
rfam:Gorilla gorilla gorilla genomic chromosome, chr7, whole genome shotgun sequence